rnacentral:rRNA from 1 species
ACCUAUCAACGAUGGAUCUCUUGGUUCCCGCAACGAUGAAGAACGCCGCGAAACGCGAUAUGUAAUGUGAAUUGCAGGAUUAAGUGAAUCAUCAAAUCUUUGAACGCAAAUUGCUGCUCGAACUCUUGCAGUCCGAGCACACCUGGUUCAGACUCGU